rnacentral:rRNA from 1 species
UAUCCAACCUGCCGUCUACUCUUGGACAGCCUUCUGAAAGGAAGAUUAAUACAAGAUGGCAUCAUGAGUCCGCAUGUUCACAUGAUUAAAGGUAUUCCGGUAGACGAUGGGGAUGCGUUCCAUUAGAUAGUAGGCGGGGUAACGGCCCACCUAGGCGACGAUCCCUAGCUGGUCUGAGAGGAUGACCAGCCACACUGGAACUGAGACACGGUCCAG